UACGGAGGGUGCAAGCGUUGUCCGGAAUUACUGGGCGUAAAGCGUGCGUAGGCGGUUGGCAAAGUCAGCUGUGAAAGCCCCGGGCUUAACCUGGGAAUGGCGGUUGAAACUAGUCGACUAGAAUCUGGCAGAGGGGGGUGGAAUUCCACGUGUAGCAGUGAAAUGCGUAGAGAUGUGGAGGAACACCGAUGGCGAAGGCAGCCCCCUGGGCUGAGAUUGACGCUCAGGCACGAAAGCGUGGGGAGCAAACAGG
rnacentral:rRNA from 1 species